AAAUUGGGAAACUCAUCAAAUUUAAUAGAAAUGCCGAGACAAGCUUGUCUGUCAAUGGCGGGCCCCACACCGAAAGGUGUUGACUUGACGGUCACAGGUGGAUUACAAAGACUUUCAGGCCCUCAAAACCUGUCGUUCGGAGUUUCGUCACAUUCCUUUGGUGUGGAUCUU
rnacentral:sRNA from 1 species